CUGCCAUGCUGAUCACCAUCACUGCGCCCUCACAAUUAUGCUCGGCCCAUCCUGUAGUGCAAGAUGUGACGUCACAAGACCAGGCAAGCAGCUCAAGCAUAUCAGGUCUUUCGUGUACGAGUUCUCCACUGGGGAUGGCCAGUGGGGCCAUCCCUGAUUCCAGCCUGACGG